CCGAGCUCCGCGCAGCUAGUCCCCAGCGGAGGAAUCUAUUGUUAUUUAUUGUGUGGCGGUUGCUGCCGGCCUCGCCGCGGCCCGUCCUCGCCCGCGAGUGCGUGUGCGCGCGCGUGUGUCUGUGUGUAAGUGUGUGCGCGGGGUGCGCGCGCGGGCGGGAGUGGGCGCGUGCGGGGAAAGGCUGAAAACACCUUAGUUUGCACCGCGAGACCAUUUGCAGCGGAACCCGAAAGUUUGCAAGAGGAAGAGCGCGUGGCCAGCCAGCGGGCCCGGGGCAGCGGCAGCGCGAGGACCAUGGUGCUGCUGGCGCCUCCUCCGCGGGCGUGAAGGCGGCGCUCCCACUCCCUCCCGGACUCGGCGGGAGUGUCAGAUCCCCAGGAAAUGGCGUACAUGACUGGAGAUGCUGGACAAAAUGAGUCUGCAGGUGGACAGCGUUUCGCUGGGGCCGGAGGAGAGUGGAAGGAGCGGAUGCUGGGACGGCGCUCAUGUAGGAGACCGCGUGUCAGGACCACGAGACGCGGCGUGGCCAUAAACAGUGGCUUUCAUUUUUAAAUUGAGUUUCUCAGAACAAAUAAAGUGAUGCUUAGUAGCGGUUA